GGCAUUUGAUUAUGAAUACUGUAGACACGUAAUUUCGUUCCUCCCAGAUAUUGUUUUAUCCAUUUUUACCUUAUCCUACCGUGUACCCUCACCCAUGUAAUUACAUCUCACAAAAAUACAAAAAAUAACUCUCAACAAAAUCCCUAACAAAACUUUUAUUCUUUUUAACAUCCUAACAACCCUUUCAAUUAAAAGAAGACACAUUACCCAUACCUCUACCCCCAACACCCCAUACCCAUGUGACCCCCUUCCCUCAAUUUCUUUUCCAUAAAGACAAAAAGGGAUAAACAUUAGAAAGGUGCUCCACUAGGAAACAUUCAGGAAAGGGACAAAAGGACCAUUUUUCCAUUUUGGCAAAGGACCAUAUAUACAUGACAUAUACAAAUCAAGGGGAAAAAGGUUUUCUUCUUCAUUCACCAUAUUCAUCCUUCUUUUUCUUCUCUUAGAGCACGCGCGCACACAGGAAUCCCGUCGAAAAAAAAAUACACUACAAUCUCCAUUUAUUAGAUACAGGGACUGCACAGGGAUUUGGGGAAGUUCAUAAACACACGCCAGAAAUGGGGUUGAUCGAGAGAGAGGGAGAGAACAGAGAGAGAUGAGAGAGAAAAACUUGGCCGGAGAUCGAGCUUUCCGGCCACUCUUCAUCGAAAAUCACUGCACUAGUUCCGAUUUAACUACGAAACCCAUCAAAAACUCAUCCAAACCAUCUCCAUCACUGAAAACCAAGAUCAAAUUGUUACAACCAGCCCAAAAUCGAAUUGUUUCGGGUUGAUUUCGGCCAUUUUGAGUUCGGUUUCAGUUUGUUCAAGGUCAGCUUUGGCCUGUUUGGGUUAGUUUCAGUAAGUUCGGUUUAGUUUUGGUUUGUUCAGUGUUGGUGUUGAAUACUCUCAAGUGGUUUCAUUGAUUUGGUAUUUGAAUCGGACUGCGAAUUGGGGUUGUUUAGCACUGAGUUGAUUCAGCUGUUGUUGAGGCUUAUUUUUCGUCCGAGAAUUCGGGAUUUGGCUUCUCUCAUUUGUUAUUAUCGAUCAGAAUCUGAAUCUUUGGAGGUCACUUUCUUAACUCUAUCCUUUUCUUCUGUUUUCGUAGUUGAAGAUGUGACUUCAUGAUGUUUUGAAUGUAUGUGAAUCCUUGUAAUUCGUGUGGUUAGAUUCAUAGACUUAAAUUGAUUAAUGGUUUGGUCGAAGAUGACUUGAGUUUAUGUUGGCAUAAAUAAAAUCUGGGUGGGAAUGGGAAAUUGAAAGGAUGAACACUAUUUUGAUUGUGACAUACUGAUUAUUGUUUAAUUUUGGAUAAAUAUUAAUUCUGAUCAUUGUCGUUAAAAUGGAUAGGCAAUAUAGGUUUGGGUAGGCAAAUUUUAGAACUUGUUGUUUGGUUGAAUGUUUGAAUAUGGAAUAUUGGUUGAAUGUUUUUUUUUCUAGUUUAUCACAUUUGGAUCAUUUGUAUCAUUUGGCCGGGGAAUGCCCCAAAGUACUUUGUAUUGAUUUAUCUGGGGAAUGCCCUGAGGUAUCUUGUAUUUGGAAGAUGUUUGUGGUAAAGGCCCGAGGUGUCGGGUAAAACACGGGAGCGUAGUUAGAAUUAGUUUAGGUUAGCGUAGGUUUAUAUUUUUUGCAUUUUUUUUAUAUAUCGGGCUGUAUAAUUGGACUGGACAUUACAUUUUGGAUUGUUUUGUUUGUUGUUUGAUUGUUUUGCGUGCUUUUGUGUGGUUUAUAUAUUUCGUAGUGUCAAAUUAGCCGAUAUGCUUCACCAAGACAUUUUGUUUGUGUUGUUUUGUGUUGUUAUUUAUAAUUGUUGAGUGCCUACGUGCUCUUUGUUUACAAUUUUUAUCGUAUGUGUUAUUGCUUUAUAUCUGGCAUCAUGUGCAUAACCCGAGUCAUUCUUUCUGCAACAAGUCCUGGGGUGCACGUCGUGCACACAAACUCUAGUGGAGUCGCACUUAUUUUAGGAGGGUGAGCCUUCGGACGUACGGAGUGGGUGGAAAGCAAAGCAGCCACUAUCGACCAUAUGCUCCCCUGAACAGCCUUGUUAGUAAACCCCAACGUACGUCAGCCUUUAGGUCAUGCUUAUCUGCAUCAUAUUAAGACCUAGUGGGACCUAUUUGGUCCAUUGUAGGAUACUCUGAAGCAUCUCUACGUGCUAAAUGUUGCAUCUUUGAGGCUAACGUGGUCAUUUGACGGACCGAUUUAGGAAAAGCAUGUGUUAGAAGUAAAACGUGUAAAAGGAAAAAAAAGGGAAAAAGAAAGAAAAAGUGAGUCAAAAAGCAAAAAAGAUUUUCGUAGUUUUUAGAGUUCGUUAUGACUUUUGUUUUUCACAAUCCAAAAAUUCAAAAAAGAUUUUUUUUUCCCUUUCGUACUUAUUUUCUCUAAAACAUCAAAAAAGGACUUUUCUUUUGUUCCUUUACCAUGCAUUCAUAAUUUGAAAAUUAAAAAAAAAAAUUAAAUUGGAGCUAUUUAUAAAGAAAAAAAAUGCAAAAAAAAUGGUAGAAGUUUUGUACAUUUCAUAUAACGAAAAUACCCAAAAAAAAAAUUUCUUUCAUAAUUGUUGGUGUCUAUUUUAUGAGAGGUGUCAAAUUGAAAAACUCAAAAAGAUUUUAUUGACAUAUUUCAUCGUCUGUUUGUAAUCGCGUCUCUCAGGUCAAGUCUUAGUCUGUUCUUUAAUUCUUAAUUGUCCAAUCUGGACGAACUACGCAUACCUGAUUCCCGUUCUUUGGGGCGGGAUACGUUGGCAACCCUCGGUGGAUUGGUAAUCUUUAUUUUUGGCUUUUGUCUUAGUCUUAGCCUAUGUUUUUCUCUCCGUAAUCUAGUGUUGUUAGUUGUCCUAGCCAAGUAGGCUGAUUUUAUUCAGUGGUACUGUUCGGAGAUUUGGAGUCAUAAAGUAGCAUGUCCCUUCGACAUGUUCGCCUCAAAGUCUCAAGGGUUAGAAAUUUUCGCUCCUCAAGAUAGAUCUGUCCACAAAGUCUAGAGUCCUUAUGGUUGUCAAGGUACCCAGAAAGUUGAUCAAGUGGUGGGGGAUAUUCAAUUACUCUAAAAAGCACGAAGUGAGGGAAGUUUUAGGCAAUCUGGUAGCGCUUCUUGAUCUCACGCUCCGUCCAGAUCUAAUAGAGGCCGUUUUGACUUUUUGGGAUCCAAAUAAUUUGGUGUUUAGGUUCGGAAGUUGUGAAUUGACUCCUACUCUGGCCGAAAUAUCUCAUUUGUUUCGACUGCCUUAUAUGGAUCAAUGGAUGAUUUUAGCCCGAAAUCAUACAGGCAAGAGAUUUCUUCGACUCUGUGGGUUGAAAGAUAACAAGAAUUUAGGGUGCCUCAAACAAUCAUGGAUUUCCUUCGACUAUUUGUUUGCUAGAUUUGGGUCCUCGAAAAGUUUUAACUGCUUUUGGGAUGAAUUUCGUACUACCAAGAAGAAGUGGGAAUAACGCCGUCUCGAGGUUUUUUGUUUGGCUCUACUGGGUAUCUUAGUGUUCCCAUUAGAUGAGAGACGUAUCAAUACCCACUUAAAAUCAGUGGUGAUGGCAUUAGUUAAGAAAAAGGAGCAAGUUACCAUUGAAUCAAUGAUCUUAACGGAAAUAUAUAAGGCUUUGACUGAGGUGAAAGGAGGGAUUCGAUUUGUUAAAGGGAGACUUAAUAUUACAGUUGUGGAUGAUAGAGCAUUUGCAUGCGCCUUCUUUAGUUAGAGCAGAUGUGGUUGAUAGUUGUAUGGAUGACCGGGUGUACGCCACGGAGGAGAGAAUGGGUUUUGAUAAAUUUUCUUUACCUGUGGGAGUCAAUGCUUGGGUCGAAUUUCUCAAAGCAAGAACACACGAAAAUAUUCUUUGGACCUAUCGAUGGCUCAAUCCUAAGGUAAUUUUUUCUGGAUGUCGCAUGCAACCUCUUCUAGUUCUGAUAGGACUUAAAUGCACUAGGCCUUACAAUCCUAGUAGGGUAAUGCAUCAGUUGGGUAGUGAGCAAGAUAUCCCACUAAUAUUUGACCUUCAAAAAGAUAUCGAGUAUUUUAAGGAUAUAGCCAAAGGGGAAAUCAAGUACGAGCAAUUCUGGCUUAAUACAACAAAAAUGGGUGUAGAUCCUUUCAAAAUAGAUCUGGACAAUCCGGGGUACACUCAAAGAUAUGGAGUCUGGCUUCAAUCCAUACCUCGGGGUGUCAGUAGGCCAUUACCAAUGCAGCUUAGAGAGAGAGUGCAGGAAGAAUGCACAGUUAAUGACCGUCAGGAUGAAGAUGCGGGGGCCAAAGUGGAAGAAUUGAGAGUCCAAUUAUCAAGUUUGCUUGCAACUGUGGAAGGAUAUUAGAAUAGUCUUUGCAGAUGUACUCCCUAGGAGGCAGGUACACGGGCUAGAGGCUUUCUCCCCAAUAUCAAAGUAUCAUUGCAAGGUAUGUUGCACGAUUUGAGCGAGAAAGAGGGAACUUCACAGGCAGGUCUAUCUAAGCCAGGGUCAUCCCACAACGUACAAAUUUGAAGGAGCAACCCUCAUCUUUUAUUUAGUUUGAGUCCUUUAUUUUUUCUGUAAUUGUGUUGUUGUGUCUUUGUUCAGUCGGUGUCAUGUUUGUUUUAAACGUUAGUGGUCUUUACUAGGAGUGUUACACAUGUUAUCUUAUGGGUCUAGAAUGUUGUUUAGUCUUAGUUGAUCAGUUUUAAGUUGUCUUAAAUUCGAAGUUUGUUUUAGUUGUGUUUUUAUGAAAUGUUGUGACGUUGCGUUAUUCUCUCUUUUGUUUAUUUUUUGUCAAAAAAUAAACUUUAACUUUGUGAUAGUUAUGAAUGUGCUUCCCGAACUACGCAAGAUCUGAUUAAUGUACAAUAUGAUACAUAGGCAACUUACUUUUGGGUUCGAUCUAAUCAUUUUGUUUCUUAUUUUUUUCAUUUUAAGUAAAAACAAAAGCCAUAAAGAAUGAUAAAAAAAGAGACAGCGAGAGAGGAGAAGAAAGAAAAAUAAUGAGAGAAGGGAAAAAAGGAUAAAGGGACUGACGCGAGAGAUGAGAGAAGUGAUGAUGAAAAAAAAGAGGUGUGAUUGGGGUAAAAAAGCAAAUAGGUGUAGGAAAAAGAUCGGGAUGAUGUUAAAAUGAGCUUGCUACCCUCAAAGGUUGGUAGAAAUACGCAUGAAUAUAGGACAAUUUUACAAAUAUGAUUCCCAUGCUUGUUGUGUGACCUAAUCCUAACGGGUUUUGUCUUUGAUAGCAUGUUCUUUCAGAUAAGUGGUUGGUUUGCAGCACUUUGGCUAGUCACCCGUACUUCACUAGAUCAAAAGCGAAGCUUGCCAUGGCUACUAGGGAGAUUGAAAAUUCACUCAUUGACCUAGAUCAAGAUCCCAGGAAAAAAAGUUCAGAACACAAUAAUGAAGUAUUGAGACUUAGACAAUAAUUGCUAGAUAUGCACUGAGCAUGGGCUAGUGGCAUGCCUCCUCCUCCACUCUCUGAAGAUCUUGGGAAUAUCCCCAAUUGCCCACCGCUCUCUCAGGCGUAAUUCUCUGUUCCCAUUGAGUCACCGGAGCAUGCACCAAGAUUCACUCCACGACAAUAUUACCCUGGUACUUCUAGUGUGCCCCUGGAAGAUUCUUAACCAAGGCCCGUGACUCAGCUGGCUCCACCGGCAGCACCUAUGUUCGUGGCUCCGUCACCACCUGAAGCUCCCACAUAUUCUGUGCGUCCGAUAAUAGUGCUUCCUCAGUCUGCCAGUGAGCCAGUAUUGAAAGUUUCAGAUAGUCAGUAUUAUGCCCUGGAGCCUAUUUUGAGAAUGAAUGAACCGUAUGGGUACGCUCAACCACCUGCAUUUCUAUUAGAUACGGAGAAACCUACCGCAACAAAGGAACAGGAGGUCAUAGCACGGAAAUUGAAAAGUUUGGAACAGGCGAUGAGGAAUCUGCAGGGAACCGGAGGUUAUAAGAGUGUUUCCUAUUAAUAUCUUUGCAUAUUCCGAGACAUCAACCUUCUCCUCGGUUUUAAAAUGCCCAAGUUCGAGAAGUAUGCUGGACACGAUGAUCCCGUGGCACAGUUGAGAUAUUAUUGUAACCAAUUGAGGGCUGCAGGGGGAAGGGAAGAGUUGCUUAUGGUUUUCUUUGGUGAUAGUCUUUCCGAUCUGGCUUCAGAAUGGUUUGUCGAUCAAGAUAUCGACAAGUAGAACAAUUGGGAUGACUUAGCUUUCGAGAUUGUGCAACAUUUUCAGUAUAAUGUUAACCUGAUUCCUGACAAAAAAUCCUUGGUUAACAUGAAAAAGAACAGCUCCGAAGGCUUUAGGGAAUACGCGAUAAGGUAGCGUGAGCAGGCCGCAAGGGUAAAGCCUCCAAUGAAGGAGAGUAAGCUGGUAGAGGUCUUCAUUCAGGCACAUGAUGAGACCUAUUUUCAACAUUUACUUUCGGCAAUGGGAAAGUCUUUUAUUGAAGUCCACAAAAUGGGAGAGAUGAUAUAGGAAUGAAUUAAGACAGACUGAAUAGUGAGUUUUACCGCAUUAAAAUCCACCACACAAGCGAUUCAAGGUAGAUCUGGCACGUUCGGAGGUAAAAAAAGAAAGAGGACGUGGUGACCGUUGUUGCUGGACCCCAUUCCUAUCCCAAAAGAUCGCCUCGCUCCUAUCCCCAAUCCCAAGCCCAAGCCUAUGUCCAAGCUCCAUAUAUUCCUCUUCACCAUUACUACCCUCCGAAAAACCUACCAUAUGCCAUUCCACCUCCUUCUUACCCAGUAUAUAGCACACAACUAUAUGCUCAAACCCCUUCUUACCCGCAAUGGCGUGCGCAAGCUCCACAAAAUCAUCCAUCAACUUCACCAAAUUACCAAAACCCCUUCAGACCCGAUUUUCAACCCAAGCCCGAGUACAAUAGAGAGAAGGCAGUCAAAAAUUAGUUUACACCUCUUGGAGAGUCAUAUGCUAGCUUAUUUAAUAGGUUGAGAAAGAUGAAGGUCUUAAGCCCAAUUCAAGGAAGGCUUUCAAAUCCACCCCCAAGGAAUAUUGAUUAUUCUUUAAGCUGUGCAUAUUGUUAUGACAUUCCAGGCUACGAUAUCGAGAAAUACUGGUAUUUAAAGAGAGUCAUCCAAGAUUUAAUUGACACAAAUCAGAUAUUGGUCCAGGCCCCAGAGGUUUCAAACAUUAAUCAGAAUCCACUGCCAACCCAUGCUGAAACUAAUAUUUUAGAAUUGAUAUAUGAUGGGUAAAAGUCGUCAAGGUGUUGUAAGCCUAUUUUCAAGAUACAGACCGAUGAGGAAAAUCGGUGAAUGUAGCAGAUUUUUUGAAAGCAAUGUCAUUAAGCUAGGAAGGAAUGAGAAAAGCUAAAGUCCAAGAAAGCAUAAAGAAACCCGUGAUCACAGUGAAAGGAGUUCGAGCAGUCAUUGGUUUAAGUCAAGAUAAGCCUAAGUUGUCGGUGAUAGCAGCUUCGGGUAAGCCCAUCUUGACGGUGAAAGGAGCACUGGCAGCGCCUAUUGUCCUCAAACCGGUGACCUAACCUCUGAUAGUUGAUACGAAAAAGGUUUCCUGGAAUUAUAAGCGGACUGUGAUAACCUAUCAGGGGAAAAAAAUAGUAAAAGAUGUAGAUGAGGUAGGGGGUUUGACUCGGUCAGAAAGAUGUUUCAUGCCUGAAAGCUUAAGGAAGUCCAAGCCAAUUGUAAGUGGACCUUCAUCUAUCAAAAAUCCUGUCACCAAAGAAUAAGCCGAUGAAAUUUUGAAAAAGAUGAAGUUUCCUAAGCAUUCAAUAAUAGAUCAGUUGAAGAAAAUCCAUGCUCAAAUUUCCCGCUUGUCUUUGUUGUUGCAUUCCAAGGAACAUCGUGAUAUUAUAUUGAAGGUAUUAAAUAAAGAACAUAUUCUUAGGGAGGUUACAGUAAAUCAGCUUGAGAAAAUGGUUGAAAAAAUCUUUGAGGUCAAUAGGAUCAGCUUCUCUGAUGACUAAUUGACAAUUGAAGGUAUGGGGCAUAAUUGGGGGCGUUAUAUUACCGUGAAGUGUGAAGAUUUAUACGUCACUCAUUUCAUUAUUGACGGAGGUUCUGGCGUAAAUAUUUGCCUUAUUUCCACCUUGCAAAAGUUGAACAUUAGUGUUAAAAGGAUCAGACCCAACAAUGUAUGUGUCAGGGCUUUCGAUGGUGCAAAAUCAAACUUCAUUGGCGAAAUAGAACUAAUGUUGAUUAUAGGGCCUGUUGAGUUUGCCAUAGAGUUUCAAGUAUUGAAUAGAUACUCUUCUUACAAUCUGUUGUUGGUAAGACCGUAGAUCCACAAGGCCAAGGCGGUUGCAUCUACAUUGCACCAAAUAAUCAAGUUUGAGCAUGACAAGCAAUAAGUUGUUAUUCAUGGUGAAGGGGAUUCGUUUGCCUACGAAGAUUCUCCCUUGUCCCUUAUUGAAGCAAAUAAUGUAGAAGAGACAUUUGUCUAUCAAACUUUUGAUACAGUGUCGGUGAAUCGUAUCAUUGAAGGCCAGAUUAUUCCAGGGCCAAGAUUGUCUCCUGCUUCUGUCAUGAUGAUAAAUAAAAUGUUAAAAUAUGGAUUCGAGCUAGGAAGGGGUUUGGGAGUGUCUCUGCACGGUAUGGUUUAUCCCAUAUGUCCAAAUGAGAACAUGGGCACUUUUAGUUUGGGAUUUGAACCCACAACUGAAGAUCUGAAGAAGGCCAAGGAAAGGAAAAAAGAAACAUAGUCACUCCCUCGCCCAGUGCCCUUACUCAGUAAGUUAUUCAUCAAGGGCAGUGUCGUGGCACCUAUAGAGUUUGGAGCUGAAUUGGUUGAUGACUUCCAGAACCUGUUGAUCGAAGUUGACAUGGUACCAGUAAGACAGAUGUGCAAUUCAUAGGUCCAGCUAUCCGGCUCAACAAUUCUGAAGUCACUCCUCUCCCCAUUAGGAGGGAGUUUUGGUAGUUUGUUUUGUUUUUCUUUAUGUUUAUUCGAGUUAUUUCAGGGUUGUAAUUUGGAUUUUAGUUUGUUUAUGUUAUGUUGUCAUUUGUGUUUAAACCCUCCUAUCUUUUCCUUUUAAUGAAAUGCAAUGUCCCCUUAUUUUGUGUCUAAUAUAUUUUGAUUUUGUCUUUUUCUUUAUCAGUUCUCUUUAUGCUGAUUCUAAUGACAUGACAUGCAUGCAGAAUUUUCAGCCUGAUCUUAAAAUUCAAACUAAUCAAGAUAUAAUGAAGCAAGAGGGGGAAUAUGAUAAAGAAGAGGCACUAGAGGAAAUAAGCAAAGAGUUGGAACAGUUUGAAGAUAAGCCGAAUCCUAAUUUAAAUGAAACUGAGCCAAUCAAUCUAGAGAAUCAUCACCAGGUUGAAGCUAAAGGAAAGUUCUCCCAAAAUUGGCAAGGUCCCUUUAUUGUGAAAAAAGUGUUACCCAAUGGAGCUUUAUAUUUGACAGAUAUUGAAGGCAAAAUGGCAGAAAUGGCUAUCAAUAUUGAUGCGGUCAAAAGAUAUUAUGUAUAACAUUUUAUCCUUUGUUGAUUCUAUUGCAUGUUUAGUACUUACAUUUUUGAAGAUUGAUAUGAUGAAGACAUUUCAUUCUGCUAUCCAAACAUUGUGUCAUCCUUUGUUUACCCCAUUUCAGCUUAGUUCUAUUUUUCUUUCAUAUCCCUCUUUUGGAAUCAAAAUAGAGUAAAAAGUAAAAUGUCCAGAAAAUAAGAAUAAAGGAAAAGCAUGAAAAAAAAAUAAUAAAAGAAAAAAAAGAGAAGAGAAAAUUGGAUCAAAACAAAGAAUAAGUUGAUGGAACUACGUGCGACCUGAUUCUCCUCUCUUGGGAGUGAGAUACGUAGGCUGCCCUAUUUUGGGCUCGGUCCAAUCAAAUAAAAUUUUUAGAGUCACCCAGUCAACAAAACUAGGGCAUGAGUUAAUGUAUUGUUUGAGUCGAUUUCAAAAAGUUGUAAAUCCCACCCCCACUUCAAGUGUCGUUUGAGCCUCCUGCCAUCCUUUUCUUCCUAACCUUAUCCAAAAACCAAGUUACAACCAAAGAAAAACCUUCAGAUCAAUCUUUGAUAAUGUUAAGGCUAAGCAUGCAAUGGAUAUGAUGAUACAUAGUGGGGUACUACUUGUUUUCCUCAACAUAAGAAGUCAGGUAAGAAAUAAAAAUGAGAAAAUCUUAUUGGUGAAAACCCUCGCAAGCACCAUAAGGCGAUGGUAAGCCGAGAGAAAUAAAAAUAAGAGAGUCUUAUUGGUGAAAACCCUCGCAGGCACCACAAGGCGAUGGUGAGCUGAGAGAAAUAAAAAUGAGAGAGUCUUACUGGUGAAAACCCUCACUAUCACCAUAAGGCGAUGGUGAGUUGAGAAAAAUAAAAAUAAGAGAGUCUUAUUGGUGAAAACCCUUAUGGGCACUGUAAGGCGAUGGGGAGUUCGAGAGAAAAGUGAAAAGGAAAGAGAUUUGUUGGCAAAAAAUCUUUCAAGAUGUCGUCAAUUGAAUGAGAUGUAUGAGUCCAAUGAGUUUGAAGAAGCAGCGGAAAGGGCAUGAACUCAACAAUAAAAGGUUGAAGUUUGGGUAGAAAGAUCAGAAAGCUUAAUCCAAAAUGCAUGUCAUACUCAUUGGAGUUGGUUGCUAUAUUCAGAUAAGUUUUCUUUUUGAAUAAGGGACAUUUCCCUUUUCUUUCAUUUGCAUAUUAAUAUUUUUGUCUUUUUAUGCCAUUUAUCAAAAUAAAAGUCACCAUCAUUUCUUUAUAUUUUGAGUCAAGUCUGUGUCAAAACAAGCGAGAAAGGAUUUCAAAACUUGUUAUCAGUCUUUCCAAUUGUAUGAGGAAAGGUUGAGGACCAGCAUAUGAAAGAAAUAUGAUCAUAAUUUAACACAAAGCAAAGAAAGUCUAUCAACCGACAGGUUGUUGGGUUCGUGGGAGUAUUCAGAUUUGGAAAAGGGUGCAUCUCAGAGGCAUGGUAAAAUGAAAAUUCAUUAUUUGAGUCAGAAGUCAUUUCCCCCGAUCUGGUCUGGGUUAAUGAUGCGGCAAAAUUGGGGCAAGUGUCAGCGAUUCAAUACAAAGAUGAAAUGAAUGAGUGCUGGAGCAGAUGCUGAGAAGCCAAGUGCUGCAAGCCACCACUAAGUUUUAACUGACAAAUUCUCUUUGAUGAAAUAGGGGCAAAGUUUUGUUCAAUAAGUUCAGCUAUCUUCGGGAAAGCAUAUUUGGGGAUUUUAUUUUCUGUUCAGGACCCUCUUGAAAAAUGGGAUUUUACUUCCCGUUCAGGACCCUUCUGGAAAAUGGGAUUUUACUUUCCGUUCAGGACCCUCCUGGAAAAUGGAAUUUUUACUUUUUGUUCAGGACCCUCUUGAAAAAUAGGAUUUUACUUUCUGUUCAGGACCCUCCUAGAAAAUGGGAUUUUACUUUCUGUUCAGGACCCUCCUGAAAAAUAAGAAUUUUACUUUCUAUUCAGGACCCUCCUGAAAAAUGAGAUUUUACUGUCUGUUCAGGACCCUCCUGAAAAAUGAGAAUUUACUUUAUGCUCAGGACCCUCCUGAAAAAUGAGAUUUUACUUUAUGUUCAGGACCCUCUUGAAAAAUGGGAUUUUACUUUGUAUUCAGGACCCUCCUGAAAAUGAAAAUUUACUUUACGUUCAGGACCCUCCUGAAAAAUGAGAUUUUACUGUCUGUUCAGGACCUUCCUGAAAAAUGGGAAUUUACUUUAUGUUCAGGACCCUUCUGAAAAAUGGAAUUUUACUUUCUGUUCAGAACCCUCCUGAAAAAUGGGAUUUUACUUUAUGUUCAGGACCCUCCUGAAAAAUGGGAAAAUAGAAUUUUACUUUUUGUUCAGGACCCUCCUGGAAAAUGGUACAUUAGUUUCAAAAAUGAUAAAUUCAUUCUUUAUUAUAAUCUUUGUUUGGGAUAAUUUUCGUUCUAGUUUUGAUUCUGGUUUCAGGAGCCCGCCUGAAGAACUGGGUUAGAAACUUGUAAGUCAGGAGUCCACCUGAAGAACAGGGUGAUGAAAUGGGAAAUUGAAGAAAUUGAAAAUCAGGAACCCGCCUGAAGAGCAGGUUGAUGAAAUUGAAAGACAAAAAUGGCAAGUCAGAAGCCCGCCGGAAGAGCAGGGCGAACAAAUGAAACUCAAGUAACAACUCAAUUUGAAAGAAAUUGCAAGUCAGGAGCCCGCCUGAAGAAUAGGAUGAUAAAACUCAAGUCCAGAGUCAAGGAAUGCUGCAUAGAUAGGAUUUUGUGAUUUCAUUUCUGUUUUGACUUAUAAUUUUCAUUUUGAUGUAAUGACAGAGUUGCGGAACGAAACCUUGAUGGAACCUCACUCGACUCUCCAACUCGGUAUAAUCCAUCUUUUUCCAAUCCUUUGAAACAGCUGUCACUUGACUUCCUCAUGACUUGGGUAGAUAGGGUAUCCGGCAGGAUUCGGUUGUCCUUCUCUCUUUUACUCCUCUCUUUGAAUAAUGAUUGAGACAAAAUUCGGUCUCAUUGUUUACUUCUUUGUCUGAAAACACUGCGUGUUUACAUUCAAAGAGGGCAUGAUGUAGACACGUAAUUUCGACCCUUCCUAAUAUCGUUUUACCUAUUUUUACCUUAUCCUACCGUGUACCCUCACCCAUGCAAUUACAUCCCAUAAAAAUACAAAAAAUAACUCUCAACAAAAUCCCUAACAAACUUUUAUUCUUUUUAACAUCCUAACAACCCUUUUAAUUAAAAGAAGACACAUUACCCAUACCCCUACCCCCAACACCCCAUACCCACGUGACCUCCUCCCCCUCAUAUUUCUUGUCUACAAAAGCAAAAAGGGAUAAACAUUAGAAAGGGGCCCAACAAGGAAACUUCCAGGAAAAGGACAAAAGAACCAUUUUUCCAUUUUGUCAAAGGACCAUAUAUACACGACAUAUACAAAUCAAG
rnacentral:lncRNA from 1 species